CAGGCAAGCGUGGAUCAGCUGGAAGUGAAGGUGCUGUCACCGUUAAGAGUGAGUCUGGAGCCUCGCGUCUCUACCAACGACGAAGGCAAACUGCUGGUCGAGUACACUCCGACGGAAGUUGGUGACCACAGUGUAGAGGUGCGGGUAGCGGGCAUGCUGGUGCCAGGCUCACCCUUCCUGGUCAAAGCCUACGACGCUACCAAGGUCAGGGUCACUGAAGUAGCCACCGGUAUCGUAGCUAAGCCUGUCUACUUCUCCAUCGAUGCGUCACAAGCGGGCGCAGGCAA